rfam:Penicillium oxalicum 114-2 unplaced genomic scaffold scaffold_1, whole genome shotgun sequence.
GCCCGGCUAACUCAAUUGGUCAGAGUGCCAGACUUUUAAGACAAAGAGAUCAUCUGGAGGCUCAGGGUUCGAGUCCCUGGUCGGGCG